rnacentral:rRNA from 1 species
GAUCCUGGCUCAGGACGAACGCUGGCGGCGUGCCUAACACAUGCAAGUCGAACGGAACUGUUUUGAAAGAUUUCUUCGGAAUGAAUUUGAUUUAGCUUAGUGGCGGACGGGUGAGUAACGCGUGAGUAACCUGCCUUCAAGAGGGGGGAUAACAUUCUGAAAAGAAUGCUAAUACCGCAUGAUAUAUCGGAACCACAUGGUUUUGAUAUCAAAGAUUUUAUCGCUUGAAGAUGGACUCGCGUCCGA